UCAGAAUGUUUCCAUUAAUCAAGAACGAAAGUUAGAGGUUCGAAGGCGAUCAGAUACCGCCCUAGUUCUAACCAUAAACGAUGCCAGCCAGCGAUCCGGCUGUGUUCCUCAAAUGACACGCCGGGCAGCUUCCGGGAAACCAAAGCUUUUGGGUUCCGGGGGAAGUAUGGUUGCAAAGCUGAAACUUAAAGGAAUUGACGGAAGGGCACCACCAGGAAUGGAGCCUGCGGCUUAAUUUGACUCAACACGGGAAAACUUACCCGGCCCGGACACAGGAAGGAUUGACAGAUUAAGAGCUCUUUCUUGAUUCUGUGGGUGGUGGUGCAUGGCCGUUCUUAGUUGGUGGAGCGAUUUGUCUGGUUAAUUCCGAUAACGAACGAGACUCUAGCCUACUAAAUAGACGUUCCGAUCAUCUCCGUCGGACGUUCUUCUUAGAGGGACAAGCGGCGUUUAGCCGCACGAGACAGAGCAAUAACAGGUCUGUGAUGCCCUUAGAUGUCCGGGGCCGCACGCGCGCUACAUUGAAGGAAUCAGCGUGUGCUUUCCCUGUCCGACAGGACUGGGUAACCCGUUGAACCUCCUUCGUGCUUGGGAUAGAAACCUGUAAUUGAUUCCUUGAACGAGGAAUUCCCAGUAAGCACGAGUCAUAAGCUCGUGUUGAUUACGUCCCUGCCCUUUGUACACACCGCCCGUCGCUACUACCGAUUGAAUGAUUUAGUGAGGUCUUCGGACUGGCGCUCGGAGCGGCCUUCGGGUCGCGCCGGUGUGCCGGAAAGAUGACCAAACUUGAUCAUUUAGAGGAAGUAAAAGUCGUAACCAUAGGUUUCCGUAGUGACGGGG
rnacentral:rRNA from 1 species